GUUGGGUCAUCUCUAUCCUCCAUGCAUGCCUUAAUCUAGCAGUUUAUACAAAUGUUAUUAAUAACAUUACAAAUUAAUUACUCAAAUCUAAUUAUUACAUAUGUUCAUCACUAAAAUUACGCAGAUCAACCGAUAAAUCAAACCUGCUCGAGGCAGCCUUGAGGGAAGUAGAAAACCCUGUCUCCUAUGUGAGGAAUUAUAACAGCAAGCCCAGCACAUUCAUUCCAUAGUUGAUUAUACAAAUCGACAUCAUCAUUUACUAAAAAAUUAAAUAAAAAAAUGGUGUUAGCAUUUAUUGAAUGAAUAAUUUAUUUCUGUAUAUAAAGUGUGAAAAAAAAAGAAAAAAAUGUUUGUCAUGGACGUGUUGUGAACAACCAUUCCAAUACAAUAUAAAUUAUAGUUUUUUCAUGAAUUAUUUAUUGUGGUGUUAAUGGUGUGAAAAAAAAAACAGAAGAAAAUAAGAAUUUAAAUAAAGAUGGUGGUAGUCAACCGAAAAAUCCAAAUAAGAUAUUUUUAAUGGUUCUAUGCAUUGCUUCAGAGUUACGGAUCAAGAAAAAACAUGAGUUUAACUUGAAACACAUUAAAAAAAUAUAUACACAAGCUGACUGAAAAUUUCCAUAAGAGACUACUAAAAGGUAGAUUCUUCAGAUCUCAAAACGUAGA
rnacentral:lncRNA from 1 species